UUUUAUAAAUAUAAUCAUUUCUUAGUUUCGUACAGCAGACAUCGUAGCAAAGUCUCCAGGUCGCUGUUCCCUUAGUCGAAGACAAAUAACUUCAAGGUUACUACAAUGGCUGGCGGAUUUCUCUCAGAGGCCGAAACCGGGUUUACCGGCAUGAAAUACUAUUUCAAUUCUUACACCCGACGAGGACGUUUCAAUUGUGUUGCUGCUGUUUAUGGCACCAUUAUUGGAGCUGUUGUCUUAAGGAAAAUGACCAAAAAAAAGAAGCCAGCAGAAGUAAAAGCUAAUUAAUAUCAACCCUCAGCAUUAGCAUGUGUAUAAUUAGGCCUGAUUAUAUAAUAAAACAAUUAUAAACACACUUCACUGAGGAAUGUUUUAUUUAUAAUAAACCAAUGUUAGUGUA
rnacentral:lncRNA from 1 species